rnacentral:rRNA from 1 species
GAUGAACGCUGGCGGCGUGCCUAAUACAUGCAAGUCGAGCGAACAGACGAGGAGCUUGCUCCUCUGACGUUAGCGGCGGACGGGUGAGUAACACGUGGAUAACCUACCUAUAAGACUGGGAUAACUUCGGGAAACCGGAGCUAAUACCGGAUAAUAUAUUGAACCGCAUGGUUCAAUAGUGAAAGACGGUUUUGCUGUCACUUAUAGAUGGAUCCUCGCCGCAUUAGCUAGUUGGUAAGGUAACGGCUUACCAAGGCAACGAUGCGUAGCCGACCUGAGAGGGUGAUCGGCCACACUGGAACUGAGACACGGUCCAGACUCCUACGGGAGGCAGCAGUAGGGAAUCUUCCGAAAUGGGCGAAAGCCUGAAGGAGCAACGCCGCGUGAGUGAUGAAGGUCUUCGGAUCGUAAAACUCUGUUAUUAGGGAAGAACAAAUGUGUAAGUAACUAUGCACGUCUUGACGGUACCUAAUCAGAAAGCCACGGCUAACUACGUG